UUAGACGUCCCUUUCUAUCUUGUUAUACGUUUAUUGUUUCUAUCAUGAUAUUGGAUUAACGCAGUCAUUAUUAUGUGUAGAUAAAUCAAACAUAAAGUCAAAGGACGC
rnacentral:misc_RNA from 1 species